CCCUUUCAAUAAAUGUUGUCACAGUACCCUAGGCCGAUGUAUGUGUCAGUAAGUAAGUGGAUGAAAACGUUAUGGAGAAAAUGGACUUCACGUUGAACUCAUGUAUGACAUCCAACUCUCGUCUUCGUGUCGUGCCAGAGCUUCUGCCACUGGGUUCUCCAUGUGUGAGGAAUAGAGUUGAAUGGUAAACAUAUGUGCCACGGUGACGCAUAUAUGAUGAAGUUGCCUCAGUUUCAUCAUUUUUCAUAUUACAUUAACAUUACCAUCUCCGUUUACUAUUCGUCCAACUCAAAUGAAGUAUAGAUGGUAAAUAGCUUUUUAGCAUAAGGGUUUAUUCUCAUGACGUAACUCAAUGUUUGGAUGUCAGUAAUAUUAAUUCAUAUGUACCUUGUCAAUAAUUUCACUGCCAGUAUCUAAACGGUAAAUAUGUUACAAAUAUGAUAUCACCCUUUCGUUAUGUUAUUCAUAUGGGACCGGAACUACCUGAUGAUGUUGUAAAUUGCCAAAUUAGUAAUCACCCACAGACCAUGUAAGUUGGCAGUUGACAAUACUGUGACUUCCUAUUUUCAAUAUAGACUAUGGACUAUGGAAUCUAUUAUAUAGUGAUGCGUAUGCUAUUCGGUACUCGAUGAAUACAGAAUAAAAACACAAACCCACACAUACGGACAAUGAAACACAAUAACAAAUUCACCUCAAUUCAAGACAUGCAUCUCUAAUUUAAGAAUAAUUACUGGAAGAAAGACAGUGUAAGUUGAGCCUGUGGGGAGCUGGUGUUGAGACGGUUGGUUCAUACACUUUGACCUUUCAGUUUCUGUCCAACGUGGAGCCUGGUGAACCUGAUGGGCGGUGAGCUUACUGGAGCGCAGUGCAGCCAGAGACAUGAGGGUUCGGCGCGUUCCAGUAUUCCCCUUUGAACAAUCCCGUCACGGGAUUUCGAUUUUGGUGACGUUCGGCUUGUUUAUUCUUUUGAAAACAGCUACUUCUUCAAGGGAUGCCUGCACCAUCUGCGACGGAAACAACUCCACCUGCGUUGACGGUGCGUGUCUACCCGCUGCCUCAACCUGACGUCAUCUGGAGAGUGUCUGCAGUGUCGAGAUUCCAGGUUUUAUGGCGAACAGUGUGAAAACAGGUGUCCAGAUACAUGUAAAAACUCUCGUUGUCGGGUGAAUAACUCUCGCGUU